ACAACAACGAUGACGGAGAAAAGUAGCUUGCUGCUCGCCAUCCAGGGAGAAAACGCCAUAGACUGGGAGCGUUUUUAUGGCUGACGCAAGUGAAGUUCACCUCCCGAGUUGACACCGGGACCAUCCCAGCGCGGGAUGUAAAGGUGGUCCGGCUUUUGGCCGUUAUGGCAAGGAAGCGAACAGCACGUCUUCAUUGGCGCUGUUAACAAGGGUGGUACCGCGAGCAACAACUCGUCCCUUAC
rnacentral:ncRNA from 1 species